AGAGUUUGAUCCUGGCUCAGGACGAACGCUGGCGGCGUGCUUAACACAUGCAAGUCGAACGGUGAAGAGAGCUUGCUCUCUGGAUCAGUGGCGAACGGGUGAGUAACACGUGAGUAACCUGCCCUUGACUCUGGGAUAAGCACUGGAAACGGUGUCUAAUACCGGAUACGACCUAUGAAGGCAUCUUCUAUAGGUGGAAAGAAUUUCGGUCAAGGAUGGACUCGCGGCCUAUCAGCUAGUUGGUGAGGUAAUGGCUCACCAAGGCGACGACGGGUAGCCGGCCUGAGAGGGUGACCGGCCACACUGGGACUGAGAUACGGCCCAGACUCCUACGGGAGGCAGCAGUGGGGAAUAUUGCACAAUGGGCGCAAGCCUGAUGCAGCAACGCCGCGUGAGGGACGACGGCCUUCGGGUUGUAAACCUCUUUUAGUAGGGAAGAAGCGAAAGUGACGGUACCUGCAGAAAAAGCACCGGCUAACUACGUGCCAGCAGCCGCGGUAAUACGUAGGGUGCAAGCGUUAUCCGGAAUUAUUAGGCGUAAAGAGCUCGUAGGCGGUUUGUCGCGUCUGCUGUGAAAACUGGAGGCUCAACCUCUAGCCUGCAGUGGGUACGGGCAGACUAGAGUGCGGUAGGGGAGAUUGGAAUUCCUGGUGUAGCGGUGGAAUGCGCAGAUAUCAGGAGGAACACCGAUGGCGAAAGGCAGAUCUCUGGGCCGUAACUGACGCUGAGGAGCGAAAGCAUGGGGAGCGAACAGGAUUAGAUACCCUGCUAGUCCAUGCCGUAAACGUUGGGAACUAGAUGUAGGGACCAUUCCACGGUUUCUGUGUCGCAGCUAACGCAUUAAGUUCCCCGCCUGGGGGAGUACGGGCCGCAAG
rnacentral:rRNA from 1 species